GAUGAACGCUGGCGGCGUGCCUAAUACAUGCAAGUCGAGCGAACAGACGAGGAUCUUGCUCCUCUGACGUUAGCGGCGCACGGGAGAGUAACACGUGUAUAACCUCCCUAUAAGACUGGUAUCACUUCGGGAAACCGGAGCUAAUACCGGAUAAUAUAUUGCACCGCAGGGUUCAAUAGAGAAAGACGGUUUUGCUGUCACUUAUCGAUGGAUCUGGGCCGCAUUAGCUAGUUGUGAAGUUAACAGCUUACCAAGGGAACGAUGCGUAGCCGAAGGGAUAGGCUGAUCGCCGACAUGGGAGCUGAGACACGGUCCAGACGCCUGAGGGAGGCAGCAGUAGGGAAUCUUCCGCAAUGGGCGAAAGCAUGACGGAGCAACGCCGCGUGAGUGAUGAAGGUCUUCGGAGCGUAAAACUCUGUUAUUAGGGAAGAACAAAUGUGUACGUAACUAUGCACGUCUUGACGGUACCUAAUCAGAAAGCCACGGCUAACUACGUG
rnacentral:rRNA from 1 species